rnacentral:rRNA from 1 species
UGGGGAAUAUUGCGCAAUGGGGGAAACCCUGACGCAGCGACGCCGCGUUCGGGAUGAAGGCCUUCGGGUUGUAAACCGCUUUUGAUUGGGAGCAAGCUUUCGGGUGAGUGUACCUUUCGAAUAAGCGCCGGCUAACUACGUGCCAGCAGCCGCGGUAAUACGUAGGGCGCAAGCGUUAUCCGGAAUUAUUGGGCGUAAAGGGUACGCAGGCGGUUUAAUAAGUCGAAUGUUAAAGAUCGGGGCUCAACCCCGUAAAGCAUUGGAAACUGAUAAACUUGAGUAGUGGAGAGGAAAGUGGAAUUCCUAGUGUAGUGGUGAAAUACGUAGAUAUUAGGAGGAAUACCAGUAGCGAAGGCGACUUUCUGGACACAAACUGACGCUGAGGUACGAAAGCGUGGGGAGCAAACAGG